rnacentral:rRNA from 1 species
UACGUAGGGGCCAAGCGUUGUCCGGAUUUAUUGGGCGUAAAGAGCUCGUAGGCGGUUCGGCAAGUCAGCUGUGAAAUCUCCACGCUCAACGUGGAGGGGUCAGCUGAUACUGCUGUGACUCGAGUCCGGUAGGGGAGUGUGGAAUUCCCGGUGUAGCGGUGAAAUGCGCAGAUAUCAGGAGGAACACCGGUGGCGAAGGCGGUUCUCUGGGCCUUACCUGACACUGAGGAGCGAAAGCGUGGGGAGCGAACAGG